CCGUAGCUGGCUUUCUUUUUUAAAAAUGAAUAUGUUCUUAUUGAAAGAAAAAGAUUGAUCAGUCUAGGUCAGUACAUUGACGUCUUUAGCAUCUGAUUCUAAUUAAAAGCGUCUUUCGACCAAGCAAAUAACUUCAUCACGUCUAUCACAUCUGAAGCUUAUCAAACAUUUUGUCCACAAGAUCUGGUGCAAUCAAUGACGGCAUGACACGCAUCUAGCAGGUGGCGAACGGAUAAUGGCUUAUCAAUUCUUGUCCUGCUCUGCAAUAAAGUCGCAUUUCAAUCAAAUUACAAACUAGCUUUUAUGUGUCAAAGGUAGCUAAAACCCCAAUGCCGAGAGGCACUGAGAAGCAUGUCAGGGUGCUAAUAUAAUUCACUUUAGUAGAAAAAGAAGUGACCAUAAAUAAAAGAAAAAGAAUAUUAUAAGAGAGAAAGCAAAAAUUCCAAAUACGGUCAUUUUGGUUUUUGGCUUCCGUUUAGUAAUUCACCUGUUAAUUAUAUUUAUCAAUUUAAUUUUGUUUAAGUGGUUCACAUGAACAUAUUUGAUCUAACGGUUACGAAUUGUGUAUGAUUAUAAGAUGAUUAUACUAAAUCACUUAUCAUAGAAUAUUUCUACUAACCACUCAUCUUAUUUAUCUGGAAAUGACUUAUACCCCAUGGUUUCAGCCUCAAACUUCUAGGAAUUAGUUUUGAGUCAUGGCUUCCAAAUGCAUCGUCUCUCAUCUCCAUUUGUAUCCCCACCUUU
rnacentral:lncRNA from 1 species